rnacentral:tRNA from 1 species
GCAGUCGUGGCCGAGUGGUUAAGGCGAUGGACUAGAAAUCUAAUGGGGUCUCCCCGCACAGGUUCGAAUCCUGUCGACUGCG